rnacentral:rRNA from 1 species
UACAGAGGUCUCAAGCGUUAUUCGGAAUCACUGGGCUUACAGAGUUCGUAGGCGGUCUGGCAAGUUGGGUGUGAAAUCCCUCGGCCUAACCGAGGAACUGCGCUUGAAACUACCAGACUCGAGGGAGAUAGAGGAAAGCGGAACUGAUGGUGGAGCGGUGAAAUGCGUUGAUAUCAUCAGGAACACCGGUGGCGAAGGCGGCUUUCUGGGUCUUACCUGACGCUGAGGAACGAAAGCCAGGGGAGCGAACGGG